GUAAUAGAAUUGUACUUGGGUAGUCAAAUGUAGCCAUAUCUAUUGUAUAUUAAAAAAUCUUGGAUAGAUAGAAUACCGUCACUGUAUAACAACAAUUUUCCGUCAAUAAUAAUACAAGCCAAAUCUCACACAAGCAGAAUCAUACCGUUUUCAUUCUGGUUACUGUACAAGCAUCUAAAACUAUUAACUCGCGUAUAAAACGAGGUAUCAAGACGCAUUGAAGAAUAACAAAGACGUUGACAUAUGGUUAGUUAGAAUAAUGUAUGUGCACUGUGUAGCAUCCACUGGUAGCAUCCUACUGGAUUUCAGCAUAACCUAGAAUUGUGUCGACAGAAUGGACGAUUUUUUCAGUGCAACCAAAAUGAGGCUCACCAUAACAUUUGUCGGUCAUGAAAGUGGAUACUAUAAAGUUCAUGUUGAGCAAUAAUUAAACGAUUUGUAGGUUCGAGAAACUAAUCAGAAAAUAAUUUGAAUUUCAUCUGCAGUUAAGAGAGAUAGAAUCACAUGGGGUCCACGGGGUCCAUGGGGAUUGACAAUACUGGUGGCAAUAGAGACAUCAGGUUAAGUUCUGACUGUGAUGCAAUCCCUUCUGGUGACGAACCGCGUUUGAAUGUAUUGGGACACGUUGCGGUCAUAAAUAUUUGAAUAUAUAGUAGAGAGCAAAGAUGCUGAGCAUUUACUGCAUAACAUCCUCGCUAAUCUCGACAUUGAAAAUCCUGUUGAUCAUCUGUAUUACUGGGUUGACAUGCACACUGAUAAUUCUACCAAUUUUGAUAAUUUACGGAAAACAUCAUUUUGCCAAGAAGCGAAAUGGCAGAUCACACAAAGAAACAGUGGCUGGCUUCUUCCACCCAUAUUGUAAUGCUGGCGGUGGAGGUGAACGAGUUCUGUGGGCUGCUAUCAAAGCCAUACAAACUAAAUGGCCAAACAUACAUAUUGCGGUAUAUACUGGAGACUUGAAUGCCGAGCCAGAGCAGAUCAUUAAAAGAGCAGAAAAAUCAUUCAACAUUCAGUUGAACCCAGGAAUUGAAUUCAUAUAUCUACACAAAAGAAAAUGGGUCGAUGCUUCCCUGUACCCAUAUUUUACGUUGCUAGGUCAAAGUCUUGGAUCUGUGUUGCUAGGUCUCGAGGCUCUGAACAAUUUACAACCUGAUAUGUAUAUCGAUACAAUGGGAUAUGCGUUUACAUAUCCCUUAUUCAAGUAUAUCGGUGGCUGUCGCGUUGCAUGUUACACUCAUUAUCCCACAAUUUCUACCGAUAUGUUGAGACAUGUGUAUCGUAGAGUUAUAUCUCACAACAAUCGACGCAUAAUAGCAAGAAACCCUUUUCUAUCAGCUGCUAAGAUUGCAUACUACAAAUUCUUUGCUGCCAUAUACGGUUGGUGUGGCAGGUGUGCUGAGACUGUGAUGGUGAAUUCUUCAUGGACCGAAGACCACAUCAAUGCGAUAUGGAACUGCCCACUGAAGACUCAUAGGGUCUAUCCUCCUUGUGACGUAAAACACCUGACGCAAUUGCCACUUCUCACCAUGGAAGAAAAACAUGGAAUCAUUAAGAUUGUGUCUGUUGGCCAAUUUAGACCUGAAAAAGACCAUCCGUUACAAUUGAGGGCUCUGUACGAACUUAGAUCUAUAGUCAGUGACGACUUAUGGGAAAGGAUUCGGAUGGUAUUUAUUGGCUCAUGUCGCGACGCCGACGAUGAGGCCAGAGUAAAAGACAUGCAAGAUUUGGCAAAACAUUUGGCACUAGAUGAGAAUGUGGAAUUUAAACUGAACGCACCUUAUUCCGAAUUAGUGAAGGAAUUGCAAGAAGGCACAAUAGGAAUCCAUGCAAUGUGGAACGAGCACUUCGGCAUUGGCAUUGUAGAAUGUAUGGCUGCAGGACUAAUCAUGGUGGCACACGCGUCUGGUGGUCCCAAAGCUGAUAUCGUAGAAACUCAGCGAAGUAGUCAGACUGGUUUCUUAGCGGAAAACCCAGAAGAGUACGCAAAAAUAAUGGCAUACAUCAUGAGCAUGCAUGCCAAAGAUAGAGACGGAAUAAGAACUGCAGCAAGAGCCUCCGUCAACCGAUUUUCAAGUGAAAAUUUUGAAACAGAAUUCACAAGGGCGGUUGAACCUUUCUUUCGACAAAAACAAGAAUGAAUCAACUUCAAUCGAACCAAAUAAUGACAUAAGUCAUGGCUGUAUCUAUUCCUGUUUUGUACAUAACAAAAUAAAGUUUUUGAGACAUCUGACUUACUGUCAUUGGUCAGUGCAAGCCCUUCACACUCCACGACGAAUGUUUCUGGGCCUCCAUCUUCAUUUUGCUCCUUGGAACAGUGAAAGCUAAGACCCUUGUCGCGAAGCAUCAGCUCAGCAACUUGGAUCGCCGUUUUAGUGUGACAAGUCAACUCUCUAGUUCCUGUCCUUAUUUUGGAUCGUCCAGAAGCCAAAGCCAUUAGAAUAAUCAUCUGUUGAGAAAUUGAUAUCAUGGACUUGGAAUUCCGGGAGAAUUUGAUGAAUAUUGAAUGUUAUAUGAGAUUAUUCAAUGAGUGACCUGAUCUUGUAAAUGUUCGUCGACGCAUCCUCGUUCUGUAAGGGGAACGAGAAUUUCUUGGGCAGCAAUUACCCCUGCGGAGGUUUGAGAUGAAGAACCUAAACCACAACCUCCGAAUGUACAGUCAGUACUUGUUCGGCAAACUAUACUGAAAGUUAUUUUCGAAUACAUAUGAAUAUCACAGAACUUCUUUUAGUUGUAGUUCUUCUGAAUCAUUAAAGACGAUAAAAAAAAAAUGUAUAAAAUCAA